rnacentral:sRNA from 1 species
GUCGGGCGUGGUGGCAUACACCUGUAAUCCCAGCCGCUCGGGAGGCUGAGACUGGAGGAUCACAAGUUCAAAGCCAGCCUCAGCAAACGCGAGGUGCUAAUAAGCAACUCAGAGAGACCCUGUCUCUA